AGAGUACUGGUGUCCAUGGAAAAUGAAAUUAUUUGCAGAAAAAUAAAAAUAUAUAACACUAUCGUCAAGUACAUUCAAAUGAAAUUGGAUCAAGUUUAUAAAGAUGCAUAUAAAAUGGGAGGCCAAAAUUCAAUGAGUAGCAUGCAGACGAUGUUUAGAAACAAAGUGAAAGAAUGCCAAAACAUCAUGUUCAAAGAAGCAAUAGAAAAAUGCUGGCUGAAUUUGCUGAACUGAAGAAAUUUGUGAUAACUACUAUAGAAGGUAAUAUGGAAGUAUCUAUGAAACUGGCACUGAAACAGUUUCCAGACGGAUUGAUUCUACCAGAUUCAAGCAAGGAACUGGAAAAGAUGAAGACACUUUGUA